UGCAGAGUCCUUCCUCCUGCCUUGCACUGGAAGUGUCCUCUAGCAGAGUGAAUGGGGGGAUGAACCUGUCCAAUCUCUUCGAUCAGCUGCUCAGCAUUAGCAGGGACCGGGUGAAGAUGUCUUGUCAGUGAGCUGUACCACAUGGAGCUCCUGGCCCUGCUUUCUACUUUCCAAGACCCCGAGCUUCAGCCCUGUCAGGUCUGUAACAUCAGCAGGCUGUCUCUUCUCCACAGCUUCUCUCUUGCAGAGCCAGUACUCUUCCCAGAGCCUGCAAAACUCUUCUUUAUUGUCUUAGCCCAAUUUCCUUUGAAACUGCCAUAUGCUGUGAGUUUUAGGAGGGAUUAAAAGCAUGAGAAGUCUACACUUAAAUCCCAUGCAAAGGCAGGGACACGGCAGUUUGAGUGCCUACAGACAAAGAAUAGAGAAAUCUUUUCCCUACCUUUCUUCUGGGGCAGAGAGAAAGACUAAUGCUCUGGCUAAGACUAUGAGUGCCUCCUUCAGCAAGAAUUUCUCCUAGUCAGAGGAAAAACGAGGGAAAUUUCACUUGCUGCUUUGUCACCAUAUUGGGUGAUGCCCUGAGAUGCUUCCAACACUUAGUAAGAAAUAAAUGAGGCCGCAUGGAAGAUGGUGGACUGCAAGGAAGGACCCAAUGCUGCAGAGAUGGAGUUGAGCCUCCUGCUGAGUAAACAAUUCUUUCUGCACCAGCACUGGGGCUGUCCUGGCCAUCAGGGAGAUCUUUGCAGGACAGCCAGACAGACAGGUGCUGUCUUCUGAAUCAGUGUUGUGGCAGGUGAUGGGUUGGGUUUGGGAAUUAAACUGCUGAUGGCUUUUCAAAUUGGGAAAGACAGAUUUCAGAUGCCCCUGGGGAGUAGGACACACAGUGGACUUGGCCUAUUCAUAGUUUUUAGAGUAAUGCUGAAAUCCAUAAUGUUUCAUGGCACCCUUUUCUGGAUGGCUCAGUGCUAAUGUGUGCUGGUCCUCAGUCCAGAUCAGUGAUGCUCUGUCUGGCACCAGGAGGUAUGUCCUGGGUGGAUCAGGAUGGGGAGCAAUGCCCUCGGGUCAGAAUGCCUCCAUCUGGGUGAGAAAUAAGAGUCUAUCUUUAACACCUAUAUUUCAGCUUCAUUGCAAGAAGUGUCUCUACCAGGAUGUGGGUAUUUCUUACAUAUGCAAAGAGGCUCUGCGCACAAUGCAUAUGCAGAUCAAAAUGGGAAGUAUUUUCACCUGGAACACCUGAUCUUUGAUCCUGUAACUUUUACAGCCCUGUGCAGGGGCAGUUGCAUCCCAGCAUUGGGCUUAUGUGUGAGGUAGGCCCUUUCUUCUUCUUUGAAGGGCCACUGUGAGUUUAUCCUGCAUUUAGAGAGUGCCUGACAUCCUUUGUUGUCCUUCAACCACAGCUUACAAAGUGCAUUGAUGGAGAUGGUUCUGAGAAGCAGGAUCCAGAGGUCAAUUAGUGAAUGAGCAGGGAUAAGAAAAUGGAGGUUGAAAAAGAGUCAAAGAUAUUUACAGCCUGCGUGGCCUUCCCUCUCCUUGUGCUUUAUUUUUAAUGGCUUGCUGCUCUUUGUUUAAUGAAUAUGUUGCUGAGUUAUUGGAAGCACAAACUGCAUCCAAAAGCAGGACACUUGGGGUUUAUUAUAUUCAUAUAACUCAAAACCAGCCAAAUUGAUUUUUUUUUUUUUUUUUUUUUUUUUUUUUUUUUUUUUUUUUAAAAUCUUCUCCACCUCAUCUUUAAAUCUUGCUGUGGGUUAGUGGUAGUGACAGGUGUGAGACUGACAGCAUUGGAGAUGGAGAAACUGUGUUUAGGUAAUGACCCAGCUGCGAGCAGUGAGAACACACCUCUCCUCCCUGCCCCAUGCUUGCUUUGCCUCUAACGGCCUCCUCUUGUGGCAGAUCUGAUCCUUGGCUGCCUGCUUGAGAUUCUUGUCUUUGCUGCUGCUGCUUUUUGGCUGCUGUAAUGCCUUUGGGAAACCGAAUGUCUCUUUUCCAUCCAGUUACCAGCACAGCAUCAUGCCAGUAUGAUCAUCUGCUCUCAUGUGACCUGAAAGAGGAGGCUGGCAGGCAGGUAGCCUUGGGUGUCUCAGCACAGAGUGCAAACUUGCAGCUCUGCAAAGUUUGGUUGGAACUGGAGCUCCCAGGGUGACUUUGUCUCCCCUCACUGUGGGAGAUGAGUAGUCCUGCAUUCAUGCCAAGCCACUUCACUUUCAUCCUGCACAAUCAGGUUUCCUGUUGGUCACCUGCGAGGGCAAAGGAAGAGCCCUUGGAGGGUCCUUUGGCUUCUGGGUUUUUGUCUGGUGGAAGACUGGCUGUAGGAGGCAUACUCUGGUGUUUUUUCUGGCAUGAAAGGCUUUGGAGCACCUGGCUGGUGUCUUGCUCCUGUCCGUGGGUUUUUGGGGAGGGAUUGACAGGCAGUGUUUUGCCCUCCUGUGCAGAGUGGGAUUCCUUGGCUGCCUAUGAUCUGCUGGGUGUUUUCACGUAGUAAGUGUUCUUGCUAUUGCAGAAGAUGGAACGUUGGUGCAGUCCUUGGUAUCCCCAUCAUCUUCCUGAAGCACAGCAACGUGUAAGGUUUGGUGUAGUGCUUUUGUUUUGGUUUUGUUUUUGUUUUUGUUUUUUGAUCUUGUUAUGAAUUCUUAUGUUUGGGGGAAUUUUGGGUGUCCGCUGCAGGAAGAAGCACGCAAAACAGUUCUGAGUUGUCUUGUUACCUAAGCAUCUCUGGGAGAGUUGCCACUGAUUGUCAGGCUUGGUUGGGGUAAUCUUUUCUGUGAAAUGGCAGAGGGAUAUAUUUGGCUUCUUUUGCCCUCUUUAGGGCAGUCUACAUAGUCCUGUAGUCAGUUUGCCCUCUCUUGAGGGUAUUCACUAUGUGCUAGCACAGAGGUGGACAUGGUAGCAAAGUGUGGGGCUGUUCUUGGAGCCACACUAGCUGCCUGACCCUGGGAAUUCGUCUUGCAGCUACCCCACCUGUCUGGGAGUGUAAUGCUAGUGGUCUUCAAAGACUGCUUUGUCCUCACAGGGUGAAAAUGGGGUAGAGGAGAAAACCAGGGGGUAGGGAGAUAAUAACACAGAGAAAGAAAGGACCCCACCCUUAGCAUGAAACAGCAGAGGUUUUCGUCUGGGUCCUGGUUAAUGAGGGCAUUUUGAUCUACAAUUGUUGACUGCAGAAAGAGCCUGCCUGAUAAAGGGGGAAGGGACGUCCUGGGGGAGAGGGUCGCUGAAUAUGCAUGGCCCCGGGUCUCUUUGUUUAGCUGAUAUCUGACUAUAUUUAUUCUUCUAGAUUACACAUUCUGACUGCGGAACAAAGGGCUGGCAGGAGCUGCUCUCUUGUGCUUAAUAAUUUGAGUGAAUUUACAUUUCAAUGCAGCCCUGCGCCACUUCCCACCCCCCAUGGAAAGAGCAGAAUUUCCCUGUUGUGGGGAGGGGGGGAGCAAAACUCCCACCCCAAUGGCCAGGCUGGGAGAUUUAUUGAUAUUCCUCUCUGAAUUCAUUCCUAGAGAAUCCAGUAUGUGUGUGCGCAAGUGUGUGCCCACCCGCCAGAUACAGAGAUGUUUUUUUCCCUGCCACCCUACUCCAUGACUUGUUCAGAUAACGCUGUUUGCCCCACCUCCCUGCUGAGCAGUGUGAUUCAUCAUCAAGUAAUUAACCAUCAGCAGUACAGAAAGUACCUGGCCUGGCAGAAGUGUGAAAACGUAUCUGCACCUAACGGGGACUGGACGGAAGAUUUCCACUUUGAGUGACACACAGGGAACUGCAAAGUGACAAAGACAGAGUUAGCCAUUGCUAAAACUCCCAAACAUACUCUGCUUUUUGUGUAAUGUCCUUUGUACUCUACUAUGGGCCUGAGGAUGCAAAAAAUCAUUCUCUGAGUCAGAGUGGGGUCCCAGGGGAUCCAGAGGUGGCAGUUUCUCACUGGCCUGUUUGACCUGGGUUUGGAUCCUUUCCUGUAGCAGUUUCACAGUGAGGCUCAUCUCUUGGCUCUGAGAAGUGAAUGAAAUGAAUUUUCCUCUUGCGCUUUUCCUAGCUUAUCUACAAGUGUGGUUUCAUGUCCCUGAAUAGGAUCCUGGACCACAUUUGCAUGAAUGUUGUGUUAGCUGCAAUGCCACUCUUCCCGAGUCAUAGUCCUGGAUUUUAAUAUUAGGACAGUUGCAGUGCCUUUAUCCCACACCUUGUCCAACUGAUGAUGACCUUGCUGGCACACAGACUUUAUGCACAGACAGUCCCAGCACUCUAGGCGGGGUUCCAGCCUCCAGUCACUAGUGCUCUGCAUCGGCUAAUAACAAGAAAAGUUCAAUUAAAGCAACAGAUCUUGCUUUGCUCUGUGUGCACACAAGUGUGUACCACCUGCUACAGAGGACAUCUCUGCUUGUCUUAGGCCCCUUAAAAGAUGGUUUGUGAGUUGGGAAGGGACAUAACCCAUGAGCAUAGGACCCUGCUGGGCGGUGUCUGUGUGUCCAGGAGCGGAUCGGGUCACACUGUUCACCCAUUUACUCCUCUCCUCUCUCAUCCCAUACGGUCUCACAUAGUGCAACAUGAGAUGGACCCUUUGCUGCCCUCAAGACUGAGGAAGCACCACAUGUGAAAGGAUCAGCCUCAAGCAUGGCCAAGUCAAGCACCUACUGGCUCAGCAGGGACCAGCCUCAUCCACUACAGGACAGUGCUUAGAGAAACACUAAUUCUGUGACUCUGCUGGAGACCUGGGUGUUUGGUCUGCAGACAGCUUGAUCAACAACGGACACUUGCAAACCUCAGAGGCUAUCAAACCACCAUCACAACCUGUGGCUCCAGCUUGCUCCCUCCUUCAGCCAAGGAAUUGCUCUAUUGCUCAGAGCGAUUGCAGUGUGGCAUCACUGCUCGCCCUUAGCCUGUGCCACUUGUUAAAGACUGAGAACAUGGGAAUAUGGGUUGUUUUCUGCCAACAGAGGUAAGUGGAUGAUGAAGCACUUGUAGCUAGCAAAGCAUAGGCACUUCUGCUGGCUCCAGCCUCCAAGGGUUGCUUUCACUGAUCAAAAUGAGCAAAAAAAGAAAGAAAAAAAAAAACCUCAAGGAUGUAAAAGCUAUCAGAGUUAGUGGGAAACAAUUAACUAAAGGAAGAACUAGUGAAUAUUCCCUUUGUGCUUUUUCCUCAUGAUUCUUGCUGGUGUCUGGGAUCAAGGACUUGGUGAGAAUGCAGCUUCAUCAUCCUUUGGACUCUUCAUGCCUUCUUAGGUUUUGAAUCUGGCCAUCAGGAAGGAUAAAGGAUAACAACAGGUCUCUAUGUAACUAAUGAAUCGGGAAGAAAUCACAAAAGAAUUACAGCACUCCAUGCUUUUGGGAGAGGCACCCAAAGCCACCUACCUCUUGGUUGCAGCUUUCACUCUAGCCCUCAGAAGAACUGAACAGUGAUACUGUGAAAUAAUGCUGUAUUUCCUUGUCUCCUGACCAUUUUUUCUUGCAGAAACACCCCCUCCAGUUUUCUAGAAUGUCCUUGGAGCCUGCCUCCAUGCCCAGAAAAAUCUUUGCAUCAUCUACUGGCUUUUUAACCUUAUGAAACCUGUCCCCAUGUGUUAUUUUUCUGCUGGGAGACUUGUGGAUGUGAUGUACUGCAGAGGUUGGCCUGACUCCUUUUGUACAGGCAAAACAGCUGUAUGGGCUCUGUGGAAACCUUCAGGAGACUGCAGCGUUUCACUUCAAAACCUGUCCUAAGCUGGGGUGUUCUCUGCCUGGAGAUGAACCAGGCCUAUCUGCCUUACCCCACUUGCCCUGUGCUUCUACAGAAGACUAGCUGCUGGAGCUGUCAGUUCCCAACUAUCCCCUUUGCAUCCACAGGGUGGAAAGGAAAGAUGAGCCACUUCAAGCAAAGGUCCUGCUGAGACUGUGCAAAGAGUCAGGUUGUUUUGGAGGCAGGAGAAAAACAACUGCUCCUUCCUUCCUCUUGGAAAUGAUUUUGCCUUGGCCCAGCCUUUACAAAAUGGAAUUAGAAAGCCCUGCUGAGCAUUGGGAGCUGGCGGGAGUCAUCAUCCAGCCAAUUCAUCAUAACAGGAGCUCAGUAUCUAAUAAGCAGCACUUCUUUCUGUGUACCCCACGUGGGAAAACUGCUGAGGAAACCUUACAGUGGCAAAUUUGCUUUACUUAACGCUAAGUGGGGAUCAUUUCUUGUGAUUACUGAAAAAUGCAUCAUAACUUUUGAUUACGCUGCUAUUAAGGAUGCAGAAUGGCAAUUGCUGCUGCUCACAGAGAGGGAGAGAGAGGAAAUGCUGCUGGAAGAGCUGGUGUAACCCUUUGCUAUGCCGAAUGCUGCAGCAAAGGUGUCGCUGCUGGAUUUCCUGUGUGUACGGACUCCACUGCCUGCUCUGCCAGGGGGAUCAUUUGACCUCCCGUGUCCCUGAAGAUUCAGAGGCUGAGUAAUUGGAGCAGAGGGAGAUGAGAAAUACCUCAUGCAUGCAGCUGAUCUGCUGUGUGCUACUAGGUAUGGGACAGCUGGCUGCUCUGUAAGUUCAUCCAUACACCCUAUUGAGAGACGCUUCUGCCUUCUCUGAGAGAAGAUUUCAUCCAAAGAUCAUCAGCAGCAGCCACCAUCAGAGACAGCAGAAGGAAGCUGAGUAGGUCCCAGUUGCCUUUGUGUUGACAGCACGGUCUGCUCUAUUGCCCUUGAUCUCUACUGUGUGGCAUUGAUGUGGAGUCUUCUCAGAGUGUGAGUAAACUCUGCUUCUUUUAAAGAUGAUGAUGGAACUCUUGUUGGCUGAGUUGGAUGCAGAGU